GACGAACGCUGGCGGCGUGCUUAACACAUGCAAGUCGAACGGAAAGGCCCUGCUUUUGUGGGGUGCUCGAGUGGCGAACGGGUGAGUAACACGUGAGUAACCUGCCCUUGACUUUGGGAUAACUUCAGGAAACUGGGGCUACUACCGGAUAGGAGCUCCUGCUGCAUGGUGGGGGUUGGACAGUUUCGGCGGUUGGGGAUGGACUCGCGGCUUAUCAGCUUGUUGGUGGGGUAGUGGCUUACCAAGGCUUUGACGGGUAGCCGGCCUGAGAGGGUGACCGGGCACAUUGGGACUGAGAUACGGCCCAGACUCCUACGGGAGGCAGCAGUGGGGGAUAUUGCACAAUGGGCGGAAGCCUGAUGCAGCAACUCCGCGUGCGGGAUGACGGCCUUCGGGGUGUAAACCGCUUUCGCCUGUGACGAAGCGUGAGUGACGGUAAUGGGUAAAGAAGCACCGGCUAACUACGUG
rnacentral:rRNA from 1 species